CACGUAGUUAGCCGUGACUUUCUGGUUAGAUACUGUCAAGGUUGAGGCAGUUACUCCUCAACUUGUUCUUCUCUAAUAACAGAACUUUACGAUCCGAAGACCUUCUUCAUUCACGCGGCAUUGCUCCAUCAGGUUUGCACCCAUUGUGGAAGAUUUCCUACUGCUGCCUCCCGUAGGAGUCUGGGCCGUGUCUCAGUCCCAGUGUGGCCGAUCACCCUCUCAGGUCGGCUACGUAUCGUUGCCUUGGUGAGCCAUUACCUCACCAACUAACUAAUACGCCGCGGGAUCAUCUAAGAGCGACAGCAAAGCCGUCUUUCAUUCAUGAACCAUGCGUUCGCGAAUCUAUGCGGUAUUAGCAUCCGUUUCCGAAUCGUUACCCCCAUCCUAGGCAGCUUCCCCAGUCGUUACUCACCCGUUCGCCACUCAUCCACACUCUGCAAGCAGAGUGCUUCGAGCGUUCGACUUGCAUGUACUGGCAUCGCCG
rnacentral:rRNA from 1 species